rnacentral:snoRNA from 1 species
ACGACCUUACUUGAACAGGAUCUGUUCUAUAGGCUCGUACCUCUGUUUCCUUGAUUUCUAAAGAGACAGGUGAUAUACCUUGGAUUUGAUCCGUUUUCAUCCAUGGU